GCUUUUUAGUAAAUCCUGAAAGUGCUCAUGUAAUCGUGACAGUAAAUCUUGGCACUAAUGUUUAAAUGGUUCUCACAGUACACCAAACAGUUUUAAAAUGGGGCGCACUUUACUCUUUAAAAUUUUGGAGAUGUGAUUUAAAAGUUAAAUAAAAUAGAAAUCAUGAUGAAUUUCUGUUAGAAUGGCAAAUAUCAUCUCCUCUGGAUAUGAUGAUGAAAAGAAGGAUUUAAAAUCAAGAAAAUUAUGGGGCAACCCUGACCAUCCUCUUCAUGAAACUGUACUAGAAAAACAAUGUCUUUAGUCAGAGGCUUCUUCAAAUUCUCUAAUACAAAUCGCUACAGGAGAUCUUUCCUACCAACAACCAUCUCCAUCAGCAAUAUUUCUCUGAAUAAUUUCAAUUAAUGUGAGUCACAACAACAUUUAAUUUCCAUUUGGGAUCAAUUCCCAUUGAAAUGAGAUCAGAGGAAAUUGAUCCCUUUGGAAAUUGGAUCCGAUUUCCAAAGGGAUCUAAAUUUUAUCCCAACACCGCCACCUACAGUACUGGAGUAGGUAGGACAGACUUUCCAUCAGCAAAUUAAUUACACAUGUUAGCUUAGCGGUUGUUGUCCUGACCAGCUGUUUUUGGACGAAAUAUGAUUUCCCUUUUUGCUUCCAGUGUUUCAUUUAUUUAUUUAUUUAUUUGUAUUUUUAAUUUUUAAUAACUUCAGCAAUGAGCCAGUGUCCAUAUUAACCACGGCUGGUGUUUGAAGCAAGCUGCAGGUAGCUGAAGUGCAACUUUGGAAAGGCAGGGGCGGUUCUAGGAUCAACUGAAGGUGCCCCUUCUCCACAAAGGCCUGACGAACAUGAAGGAUAUACACUGCCUAGCCAAAAAAAGAUCGUGUCGCAUCCAGAACUGAUAACGGGACAUCUGAUGUACGCCAUAUUUUCCCAACGCCUUCAAGCUGCUCCCCCAACCCUCCAUUACCCUGUAACUAAGCUCUGAACGACGAAGAGCCGUGGAUGCAGAAUAUGCAGAGAACUUUUAAAAUGGCAACUUUUGGAGCGGGCGUCAUCCGACCAGCCUGACUACAAAGAAGAGGAAUCAAACGCCAUCGAGAAGCUCAGCCACGCAGGACAGCAUGCACCUACCUGGGCC